CUUUCCCUCUGGCGGCAUGCCUUACACAUGCAAGUCGAACGGCAGCACGGGUGCUUGCACCUGGUGGCGAGUGGCGAACGGGUGAGUAAUACAUCGGAACAUGUCCUGUAGUGGGGGAUAGCCCGGCGAAAGCCGGAUUAAUACCGCAUACGAUCUACGGCUGACAGCGGGGGACCUUCGGGCCUCGCGCUAUAGGGUUGGCCGAUGGCUGAUUAGCUAGUUGGUGGGGUAAAGGCCUACCAAGGCGACGAUCAGUAGCUGGUCUGAGAGGACGACCAGCCACACUGGGACUGAGACACGGCCCAGACUCCUACGGGAGGCAGCAGUGGGGAAUUUUGGACAAUGGGCGAAAGCCUGAUCCAGCAAUGCCGCGUGUGUGAAGAAGGCCUUCGGGUUGUAAAGCACUUUUGUCCGGAAAGAAAUCCUUGGCCCUAAUACGGUCGGGGGAUGACGGUACCGGAAGAAUAAGCACCGGCUAACUACGUG
rnacentral:rRNA from 1 species